CAGGAGGUAUCCCUCUUGAGUCGUUUGGAGCAUGACAAUAUUGUUCAGUAUUAUGGAACAGACAAGGAAGAUGGCAAAUUGUAUAUUUUUCUUGAACUUGUGACCCAAGGAUCUUUGGCAGCUUUAUAUCAAAAAUAUUGUUUACAAGAUUCACAAGUAUCAACAUAUACAAGGCAGAUUUUGAAUGGUUUGAACUAUCUACAUCAGCGAAAUGUGCUGCACAGGCUAGCUCCACAUCUCGGUUCAGUUCCACACCAAUUAUAUGGCGAGAAGCGGG